rnacentral:rRNA from 1 species
UACGUAGGGCGCAAGCGUUGUCCGGAAUCAUUGGGCGUAAAGCGCGUGUAGGCGGCUUAGUAAGUCUGCUCUGAAAGCCCGGGGCUCAACCCUGGGAGGCGGGUGGAUACUGCUGAGCUUGAGUCCGGAAGAGGCGAGUUGGAAUUCCUGGUGUAGCGGUGAAAUGCGCAGAUAUCAGGAGGAACACCAAUGGCGAAGGCAGCUCGCUGGGACGGUACUGACGCUGAGACGCGAAAGCGUGGGGAGCAAACAGG